GCCUUCGUAGCUCAGCUGGUCAGAGCAUCAGACUGUUAAUCUGGGGGUCGCAGGUUCGACCCCUGCCGAGGGCG